rnacentral:rRNA from 1 species
GAUGAACGCUGGCGGCGUGCCUAAUACAUGCAAGUCGAGCGAACAGAUAAGGAGCUUGCUCCUUUGACGUUAGCGGCGGACGGGUGAGUAACACGUGGGUAACCUACCUAUAAGACUGGAAUAACUCCGGGAAACCGGGGCUAAUGCCGGAUAACAUUUAGAACCGCAUGGUUCUAAAGUGAAAGAUGGUUUUGCUAUCACUGAUAGAUGGACCCGCGCCGUAUUAGCUAGUUGGUAAGGUAACGGCUUACCAAGGCAACGAUACGUAGCCGACCUGAGAGGGUGAUCGGCCACACUGGAGCUGAGACACGGUCCAGACUCCUACGAGAGGCAGCAGUAGGGAAUCUUCCGCAAUGGGCGAAAGCAUGACGGAGCAACGCCGCGUGAGUGAUGAAGGUCUUCGGAUCGUAAAACUCUGUUAUUAGGGAAGAACAAAUGUGUAAGUAACUGUGCACAUCUUGACGGUACCUAAUCAGAAAGCCACGGCUAACUACGUG